rnacentral:rRNA from 1 species
CCUACGGGUGGCUGCAGUGAGGAAUAUUGGUCAAUGGACGAGAGACUGAACCAGCCAAGUAGCGUGAAGGAUGACGGUCCUAUGGGUCGUAAACCUCUUUUAUCUGGGAAUAAAAUGUUCCACGUGUGGGAUGUUGUAUGUACCAUAUGAAUAAGGAUCAGCUAACUCCGUGCCAGCAGCCGCGGUAAUACGGAGGAUCCGAGCGUUAUCCGGAUUUAUUGGGUUUAAAGGGAGCGUAGGUGGACUGUUAAGUCAGUUGUGAAAGGUUGCGGCUCAACCGCAAAACUGCGGUUGAAACUGGCAGUCUUGAGUACAGUAGAGGUGUGCGGAAUGCGUGGUGUAGCGGUGAAAUGCAUAGAUAUCACGAAGAACUCCGAUUGCGAAGGCAGUUCACUGGACUGCAACUGACACUGAGGCACGAAAGUGUGGGUAUCGAACAGGAUUAGAUACCCGUGUAGUC